CAUUACCGAGUGCGGGUCCUUUGGGCCCAACCUCCCAUCCGUGUCUAUUAUACCCUGUUGCUUCGGCGGGCCCGCCGCUUGUCGGCCGCCGGGGGGGCGCCUUUGCCCCCCGGGCCCGUGCCCGCCGGAGACCCCAACACGAACACUGUCUGAAAGCGUGCAGUCUGAGUUGAUUGAAUGCAAUCAGUUAAAACUUUCAACAAUGGAUCUCUUGGUUCCGGCAUCGAUGAAGAACGCAGCGAAAUGCGAUAACUAAUGUGAAUUGCAGAAUUCAGUGAAUCAUCGAGUCUUUGAACGCACAUUGCGCCCCCUGGUAUUCCGGGGGGCAUGCCUGUCCGAGCGUCAUUGCUGCCCUCAAGCCCGGCUUGUGUGUUGGGUCGCCGUCCCCCUCUCCGGGGGGACGGGCCCGAAAGGCAGCGGCGGCACCGCGUCCGAUCCUCGAGCGUAUGGGGCUUUGUCACAUGCUCUGUAGGAUUGGCCGGCGCCUG
rnacentral:rRNA from 1 species